GCCCUUUUAGCUCAGUGGUAGAGCGCGGCACUCGUAACAGUUCUCCUGAUCCUGAAAUGCCGAGGUCUACGGUUCAAUCCCGUAAGGGGGCA